AGUCGGUCGAAACGGAUAUCGUCGUAGU
rnacentral:sRNA from 1 species